rfam:Candidatus Atribacteria bacterium CG2_30_33_13 cg2_3.0_scaffold_24553_c, whole genome shotgun sequence.
UAUUAAAAUUUUAACAUACCUUAGACAGCAGGAGUUAUUAGGAAAUAACUUAAUAGAUAUUAGAAUAUCUUCCCGCCGAGGUGAGAAUAAAAUAAUUAAAGAUUAUUAGUUUCACCUUCCUUAUAGAUUUAAGUCUAAGGGAGGUUUUUUAUUAUCAAGA